GAGAAAUUAGUUAAUAAUAAUAUGAAUUUGUCAAGUUCAAGUGGCCUGUAAGGCAUUUCUCU
rnacentral:tRNA from 1 species